UAUCGUUCUGUUUCAGUAUUCCACCAAUUACGAUGAUUCCCGUCCGAAUCGUAGAACCUGCCACGUUCAUCGAAAAUGUGUAUCAUUUGGGGAAGAAUUUUGGACGCGAUAGUUGCGAAAUUUGUAUAGUUUGGAAGG
rnacentral:sRNA from 1 species